rnacentral:ncRNA from 13 species
GGCCCGGCACAAGAUGUAUGCUCGUGCUCGCUGUCGCCGCAGGGGAAUCCGGUGCGAAUCCGGAACUGUCCCGCAACGGUGUACAUGCGUGUCUCCGUACGUCCGCGUACGUCUUCGCACGCAUGUCCAGUCCGAACACCUGCCGACGGUGCGCCCGGCCGU